rnacentral:rRNA from 1 species
CCUACGGGCGGCAGCAGUGGGGAAUAUUGGACAAUGGGGGGAACCCUGAUCCAGCCAUGCCGCGUGUGUGAAGAAGGCCCUCGGGUUGUAAAGCACUUUCAGUGAGGAAGAACGCCUGGUGGUUAAUACCCAUCAGGAAAGACAUCACUCACAGAAGAAGCACCGGCUAACUCCGUGCCAGCAGCCGCGGUAAUACGGAGGGUGCGAGCGUUAAUCGGAAUUACUGGGCGUAAAGCGCGCGUAGGUGGCUUGAUAAGCCGGUUGUGAAAGCCCCGGGCUCAACCUGGGGACGGCAUCCGGAACUGUCAAGCUAGAGUGCAGGAGAGGAAGGUAGAAUUCCCGGUGUAGCGGUGAAAUGCGUAGAGAUCGGGAGGAAUACCAGUGGCGAAGGCGGCCUUCUGGACUGACACUGACACUGAGGUGCGAAAGCGUGGGUAGCAAACAGGAUUAGAUACCCUUGUAGUC